AGCAGCAGCCGCGGUAAAACGAAGGGGGCUAGCGUUGUUCGGAAUUACUGGGCGUAAAGGGCGCGUAGGCGGCCAUUCAAGUUAGAUGUGAAAGCCCUGGGCUCAACCUAGGAAUUGCAUUUGAUACUGUUUGGCUUGAGUUCGGGAGAGGUGAGUGGAAUUCCCAGUGUAGAGGUGAAAUUCGUAGAUAUUGGGAAGAACACCAGUGGCGAAGGCGGCUCACUGGACCGACACUGACGCUGAGGCGCGAAAGCGUGGGGAGCAAACAGGAUUAGAUACCCGGGUAGUCCCUGUCUCUUAUAC
rnacentral:rRNA from 1 species